AGGGUUCGAUUAUGGCUCAGGAUGAACGCUGGCGGCGUGCCUAACACAUGCAAGUCGAGCGAAGCGCUCAGGAGGAAGUUUUCGGAUGGAAUCCUGAAUGACUGAGCGGCGGACGGGUGAGUAACGCGUGGGUAACCUGCCUCAUACAGGGGGAUAACAGUUGGAAACGGCUGCUAAUACCGCAUAAGCGCACAGUACCGCAUGGUACGGUGUGAAAAACUCCGGUGGUAUGAGAUGGACCCGCGUCUGAUUAGCUAGUUGGUGGGGUAACGGCCUACCAAGGCGACGAUCAGUAGCCGACCUGAGAGGGUGACCGGCCACAUUGGGACUGAGACACGGCCCAA
rnacentral:rRNA from 1 species